rnacentral:lncRNA from 1 species
GAGCUGCAAGAUUCAAAGAGAGGACGUACGAAAAUGGAGCGUUGGGCAAGCCACAAAGAGAGAGAUGAUGUUGUCACUGUCACGGCAUCGUCCACUUCUUCAAAACUUCAAGAGAAGGAAAAAGGCACUAACGGCCGAGUUCUCGAACCUGUCCAUGACAAGAAUCGGGAUUUAACUGAAGAGAAAAGUAGCCAUGACCUUGCAGAGACCAAAGAUAGAAGCGAGAAGGGACCUCCAGGAGAUCGGCACUUGGACACGGUUGAGAAACUCAAGAAACGUAGUGAACGGUUCAAACUUCCAAUGCCCACGGAGAAAGAUACCACAGUCGUAAAGAAAAUGGAGUCUGAGACGCUGCCCUCUGCAAAAAUUGAAGGCCCUGUGGAUUCAGAGGUGAAAGCAGAGCGGCCAGCAAGGAAAAGACGGUGGACAAGUAGCUGAGAGCCUGGCUCUCUUUGGCUGGAUCGAGGGGUAGCUUCUUAUACUUAAACGGAUGGCAUGAGAUUCUCGCAUCCCACGGAGCAGUUGUUGCCGUGGAGGAUCAAGUUCCAUGAAGAUUAAUUAGAAGAGCUUAGGAAGAGUGUGUGGGAGUGAGCUAUGUUGUGUAAGAAUAAUACGCAUAAGGAUUUUACUUUGAGAGAAUACUCUUUUGUAGUAGUUGAUGUAAACUUUUGUCAAAGAUUAUUUGGUCUUUUAGUUUUGUUCACAUACUAAGCGCCUCAAGAGAGAGCGAGGAUAUUUAUAAAGUACUCGAGGCAUUGUAUUUUACUGUAGUAAUUUUGUUACUGUUUUUUGUAAACAACCUUUUGAACACUUGACAUUUGUAUUUUCCUUUUUCCAGGUUUAUUAUGAGGAGACAGCAACAACUAUGAAAGUAGAGACUGCUUGAUGGAGAAAGGCUCGUAAAUAGAAUACGAGCUUAUUAUCACGUUUCAAAAUCUCUUACGAAAUCAAAACUUUCCUAUUACAAACAAACAAAGUUUCUUUAGAGCUUUGAUCUAUAGUAAUAAAUCACUGUUUUGCGGCAUAUAUUGUUUAAAAUGAAUAAAACGUAAAUAGCUCAAGUUUCGAAAAUGCUGAGGGCGGGCAUGUUACAACGUAUGAAGUUAUAUGGUGUGAUUAAAUUUUUAUUCAGUGGCAAAGAGGAAUCCCAUAGCCAGUAUUGCCAGCAAGGAAAGGCACAGAUUAGCAGUGGUGGCAAUAGAGCCAGAAUGACCAGGGGCAUUUGGCGUAGCUCCAGUUGCAUUGUUGGCGGCCAUGUUUGCAACAGGAGGCAGAGGAGGAUCAAUCACGUCUUUGGCGUCAAGAGGUGGGCUUGGGGCACUAGCUGGUGGCUGUGCUUCCUUGUUUGCCACGGAGAUUAGAGAGCCAGCCUCUGCAGGUAAGAUGGCAUAGGGCUGCUCUUUGUCUAAAUCUGAGCAUGGACUCCCUGCAUUUGCAUCAAAUGUUAAGCAUCAGCUUUUGUGUUGUUAAAUGAUCAACAUUAUCUUUGUUAUGUGUAUAUAUUGGUUCUUUCAUGAAUCUUGUAGAGGUUUAGAAUUUACUUAAGUAUCUGGUGGCGGUGGCAGGGAACUCCGUGAUGACUCCAUCAACACCAUUCCCUGCAAUGAAUGUGGCAAACUCUACAGUAGGAUCAGAGAAGUAGUCGAACGCUAUGGAGAUAUACUCGUUCCUUAGCACCGAGACAUAAACAGAGAUAUUCCCCUUGUGCAUUUCCUCCACUACGUUGGUCUUCCCUGCGGCAAAGCUUCCGGAGAUGGUGACGAGAGAACUUCUCAAGAUAUUGACAGCAUCUGCAUGCUUCUUGAUUUCGUCAACGGAUGCCUUGGGAGCAUCUCCUAUUUCCUUGUCGAUGCUCAAGACUCUAGUGUAGGGAGGGACAGCCUCAAAACCGGCCAGAACUGAACUGUCAUCUGACUGAAUCAAUACCCUUUGGGUUGUUUGCUUGUCGAGUGUGGAUUUGGUCAGAGCGGACUUGACUGCGUCUACGAUUCCUAAGCCUUUCUUUGAGGCUAAAUAAGCAGCAUUCUGUCAAAACAAAAAAAACAAGGCGUUAGUGGUGAUGCUUUGAGUAAGUUAAAGGAGCAUUAAUGAAAAAAGGGGCAUAUGCCUGGAUGUUGACAAGAACUCCAGUGACUGCCUUUUCUUUGCUGAACUUAAGGAAGUCAUCAAGAGUUACGAACUUCCCGGCAUUCUUGUUUGCUGGGUUUCUCGAGAUUCCCACCUUAGCUAUGAAAGGGCUCUGGAUUUGAGCUGUAGGCAGAGACAUCCCACUGUCAUGAUCCAGAUCUUCCCCCAGAGCUAGCUGCAGCAACAGGGGCGCAGGGUGUUCCUGUUGAUUCUUCAAAUUUAGUGAAGGUAGAAACUGCUCAAGUUGAUUCAGCUAAAGUACCAGCUCAUGUUCGACCUGCACUGGUAUGUUUCCUACCGCCUUUGUUCUCAUUUAAAGUAGCAUCGUCUAUAUGUGGUUUUCUAUAUUGUAUAUCAAAGCUGGAACGUCGUGGCUAUACAUUUUUCUUGUUACUAUCUAAAGCUUGAGAGUAUUGGAUGAUUUUUUUACUUUUGGUUAUUUCAGCCCCCUGGAAGACCGAUACCUGUGGAGACUGGUUCUGGUGAGCGUCAGCCAUCCGUUGAUACACGUGCUCCUCGAAUGCGUGAUCUAGAUGCUAUCAUUGAGGUUGAACAUGUCUCAAAUCUCUCUUUAUUUUGGUUUUUACUGGUGAGGCAUAGUUGCAUGCUAUAAUGUCUGCUACUAAUUGAAAUCGAUUUUGUUGCCAGAUUGUAUGUCAGGAUUCACACGAGGAUGCGCCUUCGGGUGAAAAUGACACAGAACCAGCUGUUAGUAGCCUUCCUAUAGAAAAUGUUCCAGUUGAGACUGGGUACGUUAACAGCAGAAGACCAGACGGGGAAUCUGCUGAACGAAGUCCUACCCAGGAUGAACCACGUAAAAGGCUUCUCAGAAAGCAAGACGAUGAGAUCUCUAGAAGCACUGGUAGUGGCCAGAGUUUUCGUUCGUCGUCUCCUGUUGGGGACAGAGGCACAAUGUCAUCAAGUGUUGAUCGUGAAGAUAUGGGAGGCGUAGCCGGCAAAGAUGCUGAGAUGGAAGAGGAGCGUAAAACGAGUUCUGCAGUUCAAGAAGAUGAUGGAGGGGAAUCAAAGACGGAGAGAAGUAGUGGAAACAGCAAAGCAAGAUCUGAAAGUCACAGAGAUCAUCAGCAAUUGAAGGAUAGUGCAGAACAGGAAGUUAUUCAAAAUAAGCAUUCUACUCGACCAGCUAGCAGUAAGAAACAUCACGAUAACAGUGCACCGUAUCAGAGCAGAAAGAAUCAAGACAGAGGGAAAGAAAUGGAAAGAACUCGAGCGGCGAGCAAAGGUGGUAGGGAGUACUCAAAUCCUCAUACGGACGUUGAUUACUCAAUUGCAAGGGGCGACGAUUAUGAUAGAAGGAAAGAGCGAGAUGUUGAUGGGGGGUUCUGGCGCAGGAAAGAGGAUGACCCAUUCAGUAGAAGAGGUGGGGAUGAAGGGUUUAGAAAAAGGGAUCGUGAAGAGGAUCUGGGCUCUAAGCAGAGGGGUAAAAUGAGAGAGAGUGACAUACGCAACAAAGAUGAUCAUCAUGUUCCAUCGAGAAAGCAUUUGGACGAUGGUGGUUUAAGAAAUAGUUAUGAACUGGAUGAUCACAUCGGGAAGAGGAGGAAGGAUGAAGAAUACUUAAGAAGAAACCGCUCUGAAAAGAACGAAAUCUCAUAUGGUCAAAGAGAAUCAUCAACCAGCCGCCUGAAACGAGAACGGGGUGAUAGGUUGGACCAUCAAAAGAGAGAUGUCCAACAUAAAAGCAGAGAUGAUUUUGAUGACCACAGUUCUCUCAGGCACAGAGACGAUUUCUAUAUGCAGAGAGAUGGAAAUGACAGGUUGAGAGAGCGCGAGGGUAUGGAUAAAUUGAAAUUAACUCAGGAGGAUGGCUUAUCAGCACGAGGAAGAGAGAGGCAGGUACCUACUACAAGGGGUCAUAGAGGCUCAGAAGACCGAUCAUCAUCGAUGAUGAAGGAUGAUUAUAAAACUUCUGAGAAAGAGCAUCUCACAAAAGAUUCAACAAGGCAUAGUAAACAGACGAAGAGAAGGGAAUAUCAUGGUGAAGAAAGUUCUCAUCAUAGAGGACACAGAGACUUCUCUGCACGCACAGAUGAGACUGCUAACAAUGAGAAAAUGCCAAGGCAGGAGAGAACAAGUGCUAAAAGUGACAAUGUUAUUAAUUCUUUGGACGGCCAGCAGUUGCAAGACAGAAAACAUAAAGAUUCCAGACGAAAGAUUAAAGAACAACGAGAGGGUGCCGAUUCAGUGAGGAGCAAGCAAGGAGAAGAAAAUGGCAGUUCAGAAGUAACGGUAUGCUCUAUCAGCCUAUCAACUUAUUACUCUCAUCCAAGUUUUGUAAACUUAACGUAACAUGGUUAUCGUGAAUGCAUUAGACUUUACAAAGUAUUUUGUUCCUGUGAUUAACCUCACCUAAUAAUAUAUCUCAUGGGUUUGGUCACUUUUAAUAUGCCUCAACGGGUCAGUAUUGAUGCUUCUUUCAUGCCUUCCAGGGCUCAAAAGGUAAAAACGAAGCAAGAAAUCACAGGAGUGAGAUCCCACAGCAGACUAACGCCACCAAAAGACACAAGGAGGAUGCUUCAUCUGGUGAUGAGCUGCAAGAUUCAAAGAGAGGACGUACGAAAAUGGAGCGUUGGGCAAGCCACAAAGAGAGAGAUGAUGUUGUCACUGUCACGGCAUCGUCCACUUCUUCAAAACUUCAAGAGAAGGAAAAAGGCACUAACGGCCGAGUUCUCGAACCUGUCCAUGACAAGAAUCGGGAUUUAACUGAAGAGAAAAGUAGCCAUGACCUUGCAGAGACCAAAGAUAGAAGCGAGAAGGGACCUCCAGGAGAUCGGCACUUGGACACGGUUGAGAAACUCAAGAAACGUAGUGAACGGUUCAAACUUCCAAUGCCCACGGAGAAAGAUACCACAGUCGUAAAGAAAAUGGAGUCUGAGACGCUGCCCUCUGCAAAAAUUGAAGGCCCUGUGGAUUCAGAGGUGAAAGCAGAGCGGCCAGCAAGGAAAAGACGGUGGACAAGUAGCUGAGAGCCUGGCUCUCUUUGGCUGGAUCGAGGGGUAGCUUCUUAUACUUAAACGGAUGGCAUGAGAUUCUCGCAUCCCACGGAGCAGUUGUUGCCGUGGAGGAUCAAGUUCCAUGAAGAUUAAUUAGAAGAGCUUAGGAAGAGUGUGUGGGAGUGAGCUAUGUUGUGUAAGAAUAAUACGCAUAAGGAUUUUACUUUGAGAGAAUACUCUUUUGUAGUAGUUGAUGUAAACUUUUGUCAAAGAUUAUUUGGUCUUUUAGUUUUGUUCACAUACUAAGCGCCUCAAGAGAGAGCGAGGAUAUUUAUAAAGUACUCGAGGCAUUGUAUUUUACUGUAGUAAUUUUGUUACUGUUUUUUGUAAACAACCUUUUGAACACUUGACAUUUGUAUUUUCCUUUUUCCAGGUUUAUUAUGAGGAGACAGCAACAACUAUGAAAGUAGAGACUGCUUGAUGGAGAAAGGCUCGUAAAUAGAAUACGAGCUUAUUAUCACGUUUCAAAAUCUCUUACGAAAUCAAAACUUUCCUAUUACAAACAAACAAAGUUUCUUUAGAGCUUUGAUCUAUAGUAAUAAAUCACUGUUUUGCGGCAUAUAUUGUUUAAAAUGAAUAAAACGUAAAUAGCUCAAGUUUCGAAAAUGCUGAGGGCGGGCAUGUUACAACGUAUGAAGUUAUAUGGUGUGAUUAAAUUUUUAUUCAGUGGCAAAGAGGAAUCCCAUAGCCAGUAUUGCCAGCAAGGAAAGGCACAGAUUAGCAGUGGUGGCAAUAGAGCCAGAAUGACCAGGGGCAUUUGGCGUAGCUCCAGUUGCAUUGUUGGCGGCCAUGUUUGCAACAGGAGGCAGAGGAGGAUCAAUCACGUCUUUGGCGUCAAGAGGUGGGCUUGGGGCACUAGCUGGUGGCUGUGCUUCCUUGUUUGCCACGGAGAUUAGAGAGCCAGCCUCUGCAGGUAAGAUGGCAUAGGGCUGCUCUUUGUCUAAAUCUGAGCAUGGACUCCCUGCAUUUGCAUCAAAUGUUAAGCAUCAGCUUUUGUGUUGUUAAAUGAUCAACAUUAUCUUUGUUAUGUGUAUAUAUUGGUUCUUUCAUGAAUCUUGUAGAGGUUUAGAAUUUACUUAAGUAUCUGGUGGCGGUGGCAGGGAACUCCGUGAUGACUCCAUCAACACCAUUCCCUGCAAUGAAUGUGGCAAACUCUACAGUAGGAUCAGAGAAGUAGUCGAACGCUAUGGAGAUAUACUCGUUCCUUAGCACCGAGACAUAAACAGAGAUAUUCCCCUUGUGCAUUUCCUCCACUACGUUGGUCUUCCCUGCGGCAAAGCUUCCGGAGAUGGUGACGAGAGAACUUCUCAAGAUAUUGACAGCAUCUGCAUGCUUCUUGAUUUCGUCAACGGAUGCCUUGGGAGCAUCUCCUAUUUCCUUGUCGAUGCUCAAGACUCUAGUGUAGGGAGGGACAGCCUCAAAACCGGCCAGAACUGAACUGUCAUCUGACUGAAUCAAUACCCUUUGGGUUGUUUGCUUGUCGAGUGUGGAUUUGGUCAGAGCGGACUUGACUGCGUCUACGAUUCCUAAGCCUUUCUUUGAGGCUAAAUAAGCAGCAUUCUGUCAAAACAAAAAAAACAAGGCGUUAGUGGUGAUGCUUUGAGUAAGUUAAAGGAGCAUUAAUGAAAAAAGGGGCAUAUGCCUGGAUGUUGACAAGAACUCCAGUGACUGCCUUUUCUUUGCUGAACUUAAGGAAGUCAUCAAGAGUUACGAACUUCCCGGCAUUCUUGUUUGCUGGGUUUCUCGAGAUUCCCACCUUAGCUAUGAAAGGGCUCUGGAUUUGAGCUGUAGGCAGAGACAUCCCACUGUCAAAAUAAGCAUUCUACUCGACCAGCUAGCAGUAAGAAACAUCACGAUAACAGUGCACCGUAUCAGAGCAGAAAGAAUCAAGACAGAGGGAAAGAAAUGGAAAGAACUCGAGCGGCGAGCAAAGGUGGUAGGGAGUACUCAAAUCCUCAUACGGACGUUGAUUACUCAAUUGCAAGGGGCGACGAUUAUGAUAGAAGGAAAGAGCGAGAUGUUGAUGGGGGGUUCUGGCGCAGGAAAGAGGAUGACCCAUUCAGUAGAAGAGGUGGGGAUGAAGGGUUUAGAAAAAGGGAUCGUGAAGAGGAUCUGGGCUCUAAGCAGAGGGGUAAAAUGAGAGAGAGUGACAUACGCAACAAAGAUGAUCAUCAUGUUCCAUCGAGAAAGCAUUUGGACGAUGGUGGUUUAAGAAAUAGUUAUGAACUGGAUGAUCACAUCGGGAAGAGGAGGAAGGAUGAAGAAUACUUAAGAAGAAACCGCUCUGAAAAGAACGAAAUCUCAUAUGGUCAAAGAGAAUCAUCAACCAGCCGCCUGAAACGAGAACGGGGUGAUAGGUUGGACCAUCAAAAGAGAGAUGUCCAACAUAAAAGCAGAGAUGAUUUUGAUGACCACAGUUCUCUCAGGCACAGAGACGAUUUCUAUAUGCAGAGAGAUGGAAAUGACAGGUUGAGAGAGCGCGAGGGUAUGGAUAAAUUGAAAUUAACUCAGGAGGAUGGCUUAUCAGCACGAGGAAGAGAGAGGCAGGUACCUACUACAAGGGGUCAUAGAGGCUCAGAAGACCGAUCAUCAUCGAUGAUGAAGGAUGAUUAUAAAACUUCUGAGAAAGAGCAUCUCACAAAAGAUUCAACAAGGCAUAGUAAACAGACGAAGAGAAGGGAAUAUCAUGGUGAAGAAAGUUCUCAUCAUAGAGGACACAGAGACUUCUCUGCACGCACAGAUGAGACUGCUAACAAUGAGAAAAUGCCAAGGCAGGAGAGAACAAGUGCUAAAAGUGACAAUGUUAUUAAUUCUUUGGACGGCCAGCAGUUGCAAGACAGAAAACAUAAAGAUUCCAGACGAAAGAUUAAAGAACAACGAGAGGGUGCCGAUUCAGUGAGGAGCAAGCAAGGAGAAGAAAAUGGCAGUUCAGAAGUAACGGUAUGCUCUAUCAGCCUAUCAACUUAUUACUCUCAUCCAAGUUUUGUAAACUUAACGUAACAUGGUUAUCGUGAAUGCAUUAGACUUUACAAAGUAUUUUGUUCCUGUGAUUAACCUCACCUAAUAAUAUAUCUCAUGGGUUUGGUCACUUUUAAUAUGCCUCAACGGGUCAGUAUUGAUGCUUCUUUCAUGCCUUCCAGGGCUCAAAAGGUAAAAACGAAGCAAGAAAUCACAGGAGUGAGAUCCCACAGCAGACUAACGCCACCAAAAGACACAAGGAGGAUGCUUCAUCUGGUGAUGAGCUGCAAGAUUCAAAGAGAGGACGUACGAAAAUGGAGCGUUGGGCAAGCCACAAAGAGAGAGAUGAUGUUGUCACUGUCACGGCAUCGUCCACUUCUUCAAAACUUCAAGAGAAGGAAAAAGGCACUAACGGCCGAGUUCUCGAACCUGUCCAUGACAAGAAUCGGGAUUUAACUGAAGAGAAAAGUAGCCAUGACCUUGCAGAGACCAAAGAUAGAAGCGAGAAGGGACCUCCAGGAGAUCGGCACUUGGACACGGUUGAGAAACUCAAGAAACGUAGUGAACGGUUCAAACUUCCAAUGCCCACGGAGAAAGAUACCACAGUCGUAAAGAAAAUGGAGUCUGAGACGCUGCCCUCUGCAA